GCCACGGCAGCAGAGGUGCGACUGUGUAGGCCUAUAGGUGAGCGGGAAAUAUGCGACGCCGUGGCGCUCAAUGGGAGCUCCCCUCCUCGCAGUUUGAGAGUCUCUGAGUCCAUCUGCUGUCCUAAAUGGACGCAGCUGUGCAGCGGGUAUCUGGCCAGGUGAUAAUCCAAAUCUCAUGCAAGAUAGCACAAGAAUUUAAUUCUGCUUGGAAGCCAGAUGUCAAACCUUCCCAUCAGCACAUGAAAGCACAAAGAGGAGCAAGCUCACAUAAUCACCACAUGCUCAACGUCCCGCUGCUGCAGCCAGUAAUCGAGACUGACACAUGACCAUGGCGGGGUAGACGUUCAGGGACAAGCUCACCUUGAUGUGGAACAACCAAUCAGAGGCCAGUAUGUCCGUCCAUCUAAUGUGUAGCACCUCUAUAAAAAGACCUCCAACCAUCCUGGAAAAUCUACCACGAAAAACAACAAGCAGAGAAGCGGGAUGGAAGAGAUAUCAUCUCUGUGUCACAUCAUCAAUGCAUUCACACACUUACAUACACACACACACACACACACACACACAGUGACACACACCAUACUGA